GCACUCACUUCGGCAGCACAAAUACUAAAAUUGGAACAAUACAGAGAUUAGCAUGGCCCCUGAGCAAGGAUGAUAUGCAAAUUUGUGAAGUGUUCCAUAUUUUA
rnacentral:snRNA from 1 species